rnacentral:rRNA from 1 species
UACAGAGGGUGCGAGCGUUAAUCGGAAUUACUGGGCGUGAAGGGUGCGUAGGUGGUUUUUUAAGUCAGAUGUGAAAUCCCUGGGCUUAACCUAGGAAUUGCAUUUGAUACUGAAUAACUAGAGUAUGGGAGAGGGAAGUGGAAUUUCCGGUGUAGCGGUGAAAUGCGUAGAUAUCGGAAGGAACACCAGUGGCGAAGGCGACUUCCUGGACCAUUACUGACACUGAGGCACGAAAGCGUGGGGAGCGAACAGG